rnacentral:rRNA from 1 species
GACGAACGCUGGCGGCGUGCCUAAUACAUGCAAGUCGAGCGGAAGUUGGAGAGCUUGCUCUUCAACUUUAGCGGCGGACGGGUGAGUAACACGUGGGCAACCUGCCCUGCAGAUCGGGAUAACUCCGGGAAACCGGUGCUAAUACCGAAUAGUUUUCGCCACCUCCUGGUGGCGUACGGAAAGACGGUUUCGGCUGUCACUGCAGGAUGGGCCCGCGGCGCAUUAGCUAGUUGGUGGGGUAACGGCCCACCAAGGCGACGAUGCGUAGCCGACCUGAGAGGGUGAUCGGCCACACUGGGACUGGGACACGGCCCAGACUCCUACGGGAGGCAGCAGUAGGGAAUCUUCCGCAAUGGACGAAAGUCUGACGGAGCAACGCCGCGUGAGUGACGAAGGUUUUCGGAUCGUAAAACUCUGUUGUGAGGGAAGAACAAGUACCAAUUAACUACUGGUACCUUGACGGUACCCCACCAGAAAGCCACGGCUAACUACGUGCCAGCAGCCGCCGCAGUAA